GUAGGUGGCAAGCGUUGUCCGGAAUUAUUGGGCGUAAAGCGCGCGCAGGCGGUUCUUUAAGUCUGAUGUGAAAGCCCACGGCUCAACCGUGGAGGGUCAUUGGAAACUGGAGAACUUGAGUACAGAAGAGGAAAGCGGAAUUCCACGUGUAGCGGUGAAAUGCGUAGAGAUGUGGAGGAACACCAGUGGCGAAGGCGGCUUUCUGGUCUGUAACCGACGCUGAGGCGCGAAAGCGUGGGGAGCAAACAGGGAUUAGAUACCCUGGUAGUCCACGCCGUAAACGAUGAGUGCUAAGUGUUAGGGGGUUUCCGCCCCCUUAGUGCUGCAGCUAACGCAUUAAGCACUCCGCCUGGGGAGUACGCCGCAAGGCUG
rnacentral:rRNA from 1 species